rnacentral:rRNA from 1 species
GAGUGGCGAACGGGUGAGUAAUAUAUCGGAACGUGCCCGAGAGUGGGGGAUAGCCCGGCGAAAGCCGGAUUAAUACCGCAUACGAUUAUGGAUGAAAGCGGGGGAUCGCAAGACCUCGCGCUCCUGGAGCGGCCGAUAUCUGAUUAGCUAGUUGGUGGGGUAAGAGCCCACCAAGGCGACGAUCAGUAGCUGGUUUGAGAGAACGACCAGCCACACUGGGACUGAGACACGGCCCAGACUCCUACGGGAGGCAGCAGUGGGGAAUUUUGGACAAUGGGGGCAACCCUGAUCCAGCAAUGCCGCGUGAGUGAAGAAGGCCUUCGGGUUGUAAAGCUCUUUUGUCCGGAACGAAACGGUUUGUGCCAAUACCACGAACUAAUGACGGUACCGGAAGAAUAAGCACCGGCUAACUACGUGCCAGCAGCCGCGGUAAUACGUAGGGUGCGAGCGUUAAUCGGAAUUACUGGGCGUAAAGCGUGCGCAGGCGGUUGUGCAAGACAGAUGUGAAAUCCCCGGGCUUAACCUGGGAAUUGCAUUUGUGACUGCACGGCUAGAGUGUGUCAGAGGGGGGUAGAAUUCCACGUGUAGCAGUGAAAUGCGUAGAUAUGUGGAGGAAUACCGAUGGCGAAGGCAGCCCCCUGGGAUAACAC